GAUGAACGCUGGCGGCGUGCCUAAUACAUGCAAGUCGAGCGAACAGACGAGGAGCUUGCUCCUCUGACGUUAGCGGCGGACGGGUGAGUAACACGUGGAUAACCUACCUAUAAGACUGGGAUAACUUCGGGAAAACGGAGCUAAUACCGGAUAAUAUAUUGAACCGCAUGGUUCAAUAGUGAAAGACGGUUUUGCUGUCACUUAUAGAUGGAUCCGCGCCGCAUUAGCUAGUUGGUAAGGUAACGGCUUACCAAGGCGACGAUGCGUAGCCGACCUGAGAGGGUGAUCGGCCACACUGGAACUGAGACACGGUCCAGACUCCUACGGGAGGCAGCAGUAGGGAAUCUUCCGCAAAGGGCGAAAGCCUGACGGAGCAACGCCGCGUGAGUGAUGAAGGUCUUCGGAUCGUAAAACUCUGUUAUUAGGGAAGAACAAAUGUGUAAGUAACUAUGCACGUCCUGACGGUACCUAAUCAGAAAGCCACGGCUAACUACGUG
rnacentral:rRNA from 1 species